AGGGGUGUAGCUUAGUGGUAGAGCACUUGCCUGGCGUGCAUAGUGCCCUAGGUUCAAUUCCCAGCAAUCCAA
rfam:Fukomys damarensis contig117439, whole genome shotgun sequence.